CUUUAGGCCAAAAGAAAUACUUAACAAUCCUGUUUAUUAAGUGGUUAGGCGCAAACUACUUAAAUAUUUACAGCUUAACAACUUCGCAGACUUUGAAAGGCAACCACGGAAAACCUAGCUUGCAAAGAUAUGACAUCAUGGAAAGGAAUGUCGUGCAACGUAAUGCUGAAACUACCUUGAGCUAGCAGUCACGAGGCACCUGAGAGAUGUCAACUAUUACUGUACUUGCCUUGAAGAUGUCAAGUAUUCCGUGGUGCCCCUAUUCAGAAUCUGACCACGUCUCCCAAUCUCCGUACUACUGGUCCAGCCACCAUUGCCUACACCUGGACAAGGCCGUGCCUCCUCAGUGGGUGCCCUGCUUCUGCCUGGCCUAUUCUCAGCCCAGCUGCCAGAGA